ACAAUGGAGAGUUUGAUCCUGGCUCAGGAUGAACGCUAGCUACAGGCUUAACACAUGCAAGUCGAGGGGAAACGGCAUUGAGUGCUUGCACUCUUUGGACGUCGACCGGCGCACGGGUGAGUAACGCGUAUCCAACCUUCCCAUUACUGUGGGAUAACCUGCCGAAAGGCAGACUAAUACCGCAUAGUCUUCGAUGACGGCAUCAGAUUUGAAGUAAAGAUUUAUCGGUAAUGGAUGGGGAUGCGUCUGAUUAGCUUGUUGGCGGGGUAACGGCCCACCAAGGCAACGAUCAGUAGGGGUUCUGAGAGGAAGGUCCCCCACAUUGGAACUGAGACAC
rnacentral:rRNA from 1 species